rnacentral:tRNA from 2 species
GCGGGUGUAGUUCAGUGGUAGAAUCUUUGCUUCCCAAGCAAACUGUCGUGGGUUCGAGUCCCAUCACCCGCU